UGAAGGUCAAAAAUGAGAAUGAAGAUAAAGGAGCGUAUGAGAAGAUCACCAUGUCCACUCCUGCUGCUGCGAGAGACAAUGAGCAGACAGAUGAUGUGACUUACUCUGAAGUCUCUUCUUCCAGUAAAAAGCCAGUAAAAUCGCUCAAAGAUCAUGAUGAUUCAGUGACUUAUGCUGCCAUCAGAUGAACAGAAAAUGAGCCGCUGGGUGAACUUUACGCCUCUGUGAACAGGAACAAGAGCUGCACAAAUAAACAUUCAUAAUCCAGAUCACUGCAUG